rnacentral:rRNA from 1 species
AGCGAACGCUGGCGGCAGGCCUAACACAUGCAAGUCGAACGAACUCUUCGGAGUUAGUGGCGGACGGGUGAGUAACACGUGGGAACGUGCCUUUAGGUUCGGAAUAACUCAGGGAAACUUGAGCUAAUACCGGAUGUGCCCUUCGGGGGAAAGAUUUAUCGCCUUUAGAGCGGCCCGCGUCUGAUUAGCUAGUUGGUGAGGUAAAGGCUCACCAAGGCGACGAUCAGUAGCUGGUCUGAGAGGAUGAUCAGCCACAUUGGGACUGAGACACGGCCCAAACUCCUACGGGAGGCAGCAGUGGGGAAUCUUGCGCAAUGGGCGAAAGCCUGACGCAGCCAUGCCGCGUGAAUGAUGAAGGUCUUAGGACUGUAAAAUUCUUUCACCGGGGACGAUAAUGACGGUACCCGGAGAAGAAGCCCCGGCUAACUUCGUG